AUUGAACGCUGGCGGCAUGCCUUACACAUGCAAGUCGAACGGCAGCACGGGGCAACCUGGUGGCGAGUGGCGAACGGGUGAGUAAUGCAUCGGAACGUACCUUUCAGUGGGGGAUAACGUAGCGAAAGUUACGCUAAUACCGCAUAUUCUGUGAGCAGGAAAGCAGGGGAUCGCAAGACCUUGCGCUGAUUGAGCGGCCGAUGUCAGAUUAGCUAGUUGGUGAGGUAAAGGCUCACCAAGGCGACGAUCUGUAGCGGGUCUGAGAGGAUGAUCCGCCACACUGGAACUGGGACACGGUCCAGACUCCUACGGGAGGCAGCAGUGGGGAAUUUUGGACAAUGGGGGCAACCCUGAUCCAGCCAUGCCGCGUGAGUGAAGAAGGCCUUCGGGUUGUAAAGCUCUUUCGGCCGGGAAGAAAUCGCACGGGCUAAUACCCUGUGUGGAUGACGGUACCGGAAUAAGAAGCACCGGCUAACUACGUGCCAGCCGCCGCAGUAAGAC
rnacentral:rRNA from 1 species